rnacentral:rRNA from 1 species
AUGUUUGGCGCAGUUGGUGUGAUUUGCAGGGAUGAGAGGGGUUUGUUCAUGGGAGCUUCAGCCCUCGUUUUUAGGGGACUCCGCAGCCCCCAGGUGCUAGAAGCACUAGCUGUUCGGGAGGCACUAGCACUUUCAUAAGAUCUCUACAUCAACCAAAUACUGGUGGCCCCGGAUUGUAAGGUGGUGGUAGAUGCAAUCAUGCAAGGAAGCUCAGCAUACUUUGGAGCAAUUGUCCAAGAGAUCAAGGCUAGAGCAACUACCUUUAUUUCAUGUUCGUCUAAUCAUGAGUAUAGGACCUCCAACACGGAGGCCCAUAAUCUCACAAAGCAUGCUUUAUCUUUAGGGUUUGGCCGACACACCUGGCUAGGACAACCCGGCGAUCUUCUUUUUGUACCUAUGAACAUUCUGAUUCAGUAA